AAAGCAGUAGCUCAGUGGUAGAGCUCAUGUAUAUGGUGAGCAAUAACUGUCAGGAGGUCGCAGAUUCGAAUCCUGCUCGAUGUC